GGAGAAUCAAGGUCCCAGAUGAAACCAGGUGAUUACUCCAGAAAUAGUGGUGAGAAGGGCAGCCUUCCUUUACCUUAUAGACUCUGCUUUAGACACAGGACAAGAAGGGGGCUCUGGAGUUUCUCCAUUGGUGUUUGAGUCUCCCUGGUGAGUGGGCCAGGCCCUCUGCCUUUACAAGACCUACUUGCACUCAGGUCAGCCAUAUAGAAAGCAUUCAGCUUUUAUGUAGCCAGGCCAAAAUACCUUCAGAUAAAUUCCUGACCAGAAUGAUUUUUAAAAUGCCAGCUUCACCAAUGGGCAUCUUCAAAGGCUGUUUGUUUCUAAGAUAGGCUAUUUGUUUCUAAGUAUCAAUUGUGUGAAAAAGGAGGUUGGACCAGAUUUCACUGAGUAUAACCUGUGGAAACAUUACUGAUCAGGCUGGGAACAAGUGUGUUGAAGAUGGAGAUCAGUUGAAGGAAAGUUCUAGGCAAUGAUCACAGAGCCUUUCUUUGGAAUGGACCGAAUAUGGAAUAACAUGGACAUGGCUGAUGAGCAUCCGGAGACGGGAUGGCAGUGCAUAAUACUUCCUGGAACUGCAAUAGGAUGGAGGUGUCUUUUGACAUUGAGGCAGGUUAUUAAAUAGAAGUGUGAACUAUUAAGAGAUGAUCAUGACCCUCAGUACAUUUUUAUCAAAGUCAAAAAAUAUUUGACACCACUGAGCAGCCUACCACAGGCACAAGGGGAGAAAUGCUUUAUUAUGGAAAUUUGUACUAUGUUCUUCAAAACAGAAGAAUUCCGAAUAUGUGCAUUUUAAAAUUUCUAACAGCUUGUAGAACUACCAGUAAUUAACACCAGUUGUAAGUUAAAUAUGCUCUGGGAUGAUAUUUGUAAAUGAGAAGGCUGACCAACCUUAAUAAGAACUUCCUAAAUUAAAAAUAAAAAUUUAAAACUACAUUUUAAAAUAAUGAUG
rnacentral:lncRNA from 1 species